rnacentral:rRNA from 1 species
UGGGGGGAUAUUGCACAAUGGGGGAAACCCUGAUGCAGCGACGCCGCGUGGGUGAAGGAGCACUUCGGUGCGUAAAGCCCUAUCGGCAGGGAAGAAAAGGGGGAAACCCCAGACGGUACCUGACUAAGAAGCCCCGGCUAACUACGUGCC